AGUGAACGCUGGCGGUAGGCCUAACACAUGCAAGUCGAACGGCAGCACAGGAGAGCUUGCUCUCUGGGUGGCGAGUGGCGGACGGGUGAGGAAUACAUCGGAAUCUACUCUGUCGUGGGGGAUAGCGUAGGGAAACUUACGCUAAUACCGCAUACGACCUACGGGUGAAAGCAGGGGAUCUUCGGAACUUGCGCGAUUGAAUGAGCCGAUGUCGGAUUAGCUAGUUGGCGGGGUAAAGGCCCACCAAGGCGACGAUCCGUAGCUGGUCUGAGAGGAUGAUCAGCCACACUGGAACUGAGACACGGUCCAGACUCCUACGGGAGGCAGCAGUGGGGAAUAUUGGACAAUGGGCGCAAGCCUGAUCCAGCCAUACCGCGUGGGUGAAGAAGGCCUUCGGGUUGUAAAGCCCUUUUGUUGGGAAAGAAAUCCAGCUGGCUAAUACCCGGUCGGGAUGACGGUACCCAAAGAAUAAGCACCGGCUAACUUCGUGCCAGCCGCCGCCGUAA
rnacentral:rRNA from 1 species